rnacentral:lncRNA from 1 species
GCGGGGCUAAGAGUCUCAGAGUUUGUCAGAGGGGAGGAGAAGCAAAAUGGCUGCUGACGUAUACCCGAGUUUUAUUUUCCAGCCACAAGUAGCCUUGAUUUCAUAAGGGUGUGCCCAGCUACCCCUAAAGCAGGGAAUCUUUUGCCUGUGUUGAGACUCUCAAGAACUUCGCUGUAUUUUACCGGUGAAAGAAGUCCCAGGAUCAGUCUCCAGAGGAGGGCUGUGUUACUCAACAUUCAACCACUAUAGCAAGCCCCAGAGGUGAUCAGUUUAUAAAGAGGAAAGGUUUCGCUGGCUCGUGGAUUCACAAAUUUCAGCCAUGUUCAGGUGGGAAGGCUGAAGGAUCACUGAAGGAGGAGAUGCUGAAGCCGUUCAAUUCACAGUGAGGGGACAAAAAGAAAGGAAGACAGGCUUAAGUGCUCACUUAUCCUCUUAAAUGGUGCACUUCCAGGGGCCCAAAGCCUCAUCGAAGGCCCCACUACUCAAAGGCUUCCCUGCCUCCCACCCGAGCCCUCCCAAAGACAGAAUAUUUAAUACUCAGAACUUUAUACCAAAACGUAAGAAGGAACUAGAGCUGACCAAGAGGAGCAGGAAGCACGGUUCACUGGAUCCACUGUGAAAUGGGCUAACGCGGAGAUAAGUCAGAAGGCCUCCUGGGAUCAACCAAGGGUUUGUCCCUUUGGACUUUUCUCCUGCCACACUCUGUAUCCAGGGAAAACAAGAGGCGACUUGCCUAGAAACAGCUCUGUCAACAGUGCCCGCCACCUCCACCUCCUCUGCUGGAAACGGUGACCUUUAAGACAUAACCUUUGGAAGACAGAAUUGAUAGAACAGGUAAAAGCAUCAGUGAGCAGCUGGACCUGUCACGUGACCACAGCACCCGGUGGAGACAAGUGGUGACAAUCAGUCACAUAGGGGCAGUGCCCCAAGCCCCUCCACAGGCAGUGAGGCAUCCCUAACAUCUUAGACCAAGCCAGUAGAAAGCAUCUGCUGUCAGACCCCAACCCACCGCAAAAUGAGCUGUAACACUUCCUGGGGAAGAGAAUUCUCUCUUCCCUUUGCUGCUGGAAGCUGUCCGGGCCAACCAACCACACUCACUGGUUCCUAGCCACACACCCUCCCCCAGGGCUGGCUGUUUUGCAGCAUCUCACAGCUUCCGACCUACUCCAGAGUUGCUUUGGCGGCUUGAGCUGACUGCAGUGCCUAGCUGAGUAACAGCAGCCACAGAAGAGAGCAGCAACUGCCUCAAUCCAACUUCCCUCUCCCUUCGGAGAGUGCAACUCCUUGACUGAUCCAGCUGGGCCAGAGCCUUCCCCCACCCCCAUCUCCGUGGUUAGCAUCCAGUAUACAGACUGGCAAAUAUAUAUAU